rnacentral:rRNA from 1 species
UGCNNGUCGAACGAAGUAGCAAUACUUAGUGGCAGACGGGUGAGUAACAUGUGGGUAUCUUCCCUUUGGUGAGGAAUAACACGAGGAAACUUGUGCUAAUACCUCAUAAGUCUUUACGGAGAAAGCUUUAUGCGCCAAUGGAUGAGCCCGCACUUGAUUAGUUUGUUGGUGAGGUAAUGGCUCACCAAGACUUUGAUCAAUAGCUGAUUUGAGAGGAUGAUCAGCCACAUUGGGACUGAGACACGGCCCAAACUCCUACGGGAGGCAGCAGUAGGGAAUCUUGCACAAUGGGGGAAACCCUGAUGCAGCGAUGCCGCGUGAGUGAAGAAGGCCUUUGGGUUGUAAAGCUCUUUCGUCGGGGAAGAAAAUGACUGUACCCGAAUAAGAAGGUCCGGCUAACUUCGUGCCAGCAGCCGCGGUAAUACGAAGGGACCUAGCGUAGUUCGGAAUUACUGGGCUUAAAGAGUUCGUAGGUUGUUAAAAAAGUUGGUGGUGAAAUCCCAGAGCUUAACUCUGGAACUGCCAUCAAAACUUUUUAGCUAGAGUUUGAUAGAGGAAAGCAGAACUUCUAGUGUAGAGGUGAAAUUCGUAGAUAUUAGAAAGAAUACCAAUUGCGAAGGCAGCUUUCUGGAUCAUUACUGACACUGANGAACGAAAGCAUGGGUAGCGAAGANGAUUAGAUACCCUCGUAGUCCAUGCCGUAAACGAUGUGUGUUAGACGUUGGAAAUUUAUUUUCAGUGUCGCAGCGAAANCAAUAAACACACCGCCNGGGNNNUACGANCGCANGGUUAAAACUCAAAUGAAUUGACGGGGNCCCGCACAAGUAGUNNNCAUGUGGUUUAAUUCGAANAUACGCGCA